rnacentral:rRNA from 1 species
GGGGAAUAUUGGACAAUGGGGGCAACCCUGAUCCAGCCAUGCCGCGUGUGUGAAGAAGGCCUUCGGGUUGUAAAGCACUUUAAGCGGGGAGGAAGGCCUGAUGGCUAAUAUCCAUCGGGAUUGACGUUACCCGCAGAAUAAGCACCGGCAAACUUCGUGCCAGCAGCCGCGGUAAUACGAAGGGUGCGAGCGUUAAUCGGAAUUACUGGGCGUAAAGCGCGCGUAGGUGGUUAAGUAAGCGAUGUGCGAAAGCCCCGGGCUUAACCUGGGAACUGCAGGUCGAACUGCGUGGCUAGAGUAUGGUAGAGGGGUGUGGAAUUUCCUGUGUAGCGGUGAAAUGCGUAGAUAUAGGAAGGAACAUCAGUGGCGAAGGCGACACCCUGGACCGAUACUGACACUGAGGCGCGAAAGCGUGGGGAGCAAAC